rnacentral:rRNA from 1 species
AGUGAACGCUGGCGGUAGGCCUAACACAUGCAAGUCGAACGGCAGCACAGUAAGAGCUUGCUCUUACGGGUGGCGAGUGGCGGACGGGUGAGGAAUACAUCGGAAUCUACUUUUUCGUGGGGGAUAACGUAGGGAAACUUACGCUAAUACCGCAUACGACCUACGGGUGAAAGCAGGGGAUCUUCGGACCUUGCGCGAUUGAAUGAGCCGAUGUCGGAUUAGCUAGUUGGCGGGGUAAAGGCCCACCAAGGCGACGAUCCGUAGCUGGUCUGAGAGGAUGAUCAGCCACACUGGAAAUGAGACACGGUCCAGACUCCUACGGGAGGCAGCAGUGGGGAAUAUUGGACAAAGGGCGCAAGCCUGAUCCAGCCAUACCGCGUGGGUGAAGAAGGCCUUCGGGUUGUAAAGCCCUUUUGUUGGGAAAGAAAAGCAGCAGGUUAAUACCCCGCUGUUCUGACGGUACCAAAAGAAUAAGCACCGGCUAACUUCGUG